CAGACUUCAGGCGAAACAAUCAAAUUACGGUAAGUCUACGUCUGAAGAGGUGAUUGAUAGAAUAAAAGUGGCUCUUGGGAUUUGUUAUUCUCCUUCAUUGGGUUGAUAUCUUGGGCUCCCCUCACAAGUAUCCAAAAGUGAAUGUUAGGUCUUCAAAAAGGUAAAGGACAGAGUUUGGAGAGUGCUUCAAGGAUGGAAGGAAAAACUAUUCUCUCUCUAUGGUAAGGAGGUUCUUAUUAAGGCGGUAGCUCAAGCAAUCCUUACAUACACUAUGAGUUGCUUCCAACUGUCAAAGAGCUUAUGUGACAAGGUUAGUCAACUUUAUACAAAAUUUUGGUGGGGAUUAGAUAGAAACAAGAUCCAUUAGAGGAGUGACAUUGUCAUAGAAAGGAGGAAGGUGGGCUUGGGUUCAGAGAUCAACAAAUUUUCAACCAAGCCAUGUUAGGAUUGGGAAGUCAGCCAUCGUCGCGUGGCAGAGUAUUUUGUGGGUAGGAAUCUCUUCAUGCAUGGCUAUCAUUGGCGAGUUGGUGAUGGGAAGCUAAAUCAGAUCAUUGUUGUUCUGUAGAUUUCGGGAGAGGGAAAGCGUGUUCCUAACUUUGUACCCCCAAAAUCUGUAGGGGCGUUGUCUAACCUUAUUAAUUGUUGGGUCUGGACGUUGAAAUUAAGACCUAAUUCAGAUGAUUCCUCCGCUUUCUCAGAAUCAGAUUCCAAGAGAACCUGUAUUCCGGAUGUGGAAGCCAUUCUUCAGAUUCCGCUACCAAAAAGAGAACAUGACGAUGAGAUCAUAUUGGAUUUGGAAAGAAAUGGAGUAUUUUAUGUUAAAUCUGUUUAUCAUUUAGGUCUUGAAGCUAGUUUAUAUGAUGCUAGGCCUUCGAACAGAAGGUGUUCUAAUCAAAAGGCUAAAUUUUGUUGUUGGAAGAUUAUCCAUGACCUUAUUCCUUCCAAGUGUAAUUUGUCUCAGAAAGGUGUCUCUUCUGCUCUUUUAUGUGGCAGUCGAAUCUUGAAACAUUGAAAAGCACCUGAAAAAUACUUUUCUUACCUUUGGAUUUAGAUCUAAAAUUGUGACGUGGUUUAUUGAGUUAAUUUCAGAAAAUCGAGUUACAAGAGCAAGUUUGAACUUAUUUGGAUGAAAACUUGGUGCAAAUGUCUAAAAAUAAGGACUUUAGGAUCAUCCAAUACAAGGGGAAGUAAAAGAGUAAGUUGGGCAAAUCGUUAAGGAAGAAAAACAAGGCAUGGUAGCGCAUAGUAUUGCAACGUUGCCCCGUGACACAGAAGACCCGGGAGCUAAAGAAAACAGGGUAGCAUCACAAUGUUACUGAUAAUAUCACAACGCUACAAACUGAAGGCUGCUAUUACUUAUUCCAACGUCACAACAUUGCUGAGAGCGUUGCGACACUGUGGGUGCCGCAAUCGCUGAGUCUUCUGCUAUCAUUUAGGAAAAAAAAAAAAAGAAAAAGAAAAAAGGCAAUUGGGUGAUAUUUUAGACCUAAAUUGAGAGACUACCAUCUAGAGAACGAAGCUAUUGUUGAGAUUGAUCUGAAACUCAACAACGAAAGUUCGAGAGAUCGAUAUCGUGACACAACGACAGUGAAAGAGAUUGUGUUGCCUACCUUUCUUUCUUCCUUGUUCUCUAUGAUGAUCUUUUGUGUUAGAUCUUUAUUUUUUGUGAACAUGAGUAGUUGAAUCUCUCAAUUCCAGGGUGUUGUGUUGUCUUUGCUAAGAAUUUAAUUGAUUGGUUCUUCGA